UUGAUGAUGUAGCUCAGCAGU
rnacentral:piRNA from 1 species